AAUAAAUCAAUUUUUCACUUUUUAUCUAUAAUCUUUGACGCUUCGUCUUAUUUAAAUUUUUUUGCUAUUGAUAUUUUUAUUUUUAUUAAAUGAUAAAUUAUGAAUAGUACUUUACGUGACUUUUUUUCUAAAUUUCUGAAAAUUUUUCAAAUAAAACGGAUGGUCAAAUGCUGGACACAAAAAUCGAAG
rnacentral:pre_miRNA from 1 species